rnacentral:rRNA from 1 species
AGAGUUUGAUCAUGGCUCAGAUUGAACGCUGGCGGAAUGCUUUACACAUGCAAGUCGAACGGCAGCAUAGAGAGCUUGCUCUCUGAUGGCGAGUGGCGAACGGGUGAGUAAUAUAUCGGAACGUGCCUAGUAAUGGGGAAUAACUAGCUGAAAGGUUAGCUGAUGCCGCAUACGACCUACGGGUGAAAGCAGGGGAUCUUCGGACCUUGCGUUAUUAGAGCGGCCGAUAUCUGAUUAGCUUGUUGGUGGGGUAAUGGCCUACCAAGGCGACGAUCAGUAGCUGGUCUGAGAGGACGAUCAGCCACACUGGAACUGAGACACGGUCCAGACUCCUACGGGAGGCAGCAGUGGGGAAUUUUGGACAAUGGGGGCAACCCUGAUCCAGCCAUUCCGCGUGAGUGAAGAAGGCCUUCGGGUUGUAAGGCUCUUUCGCAAGAGAAGAAAACUUGCUAUCUAAUAAAUAGUAAGUAUGACGGUAUCUUGACAAGAAGCACCGGCUAACUACGUGCCAGCAGCCGCGGUAAU